UCCUACGGGAGGCAGCAGUGGGGAAUAUUGGACAAUGGGCGCAAGCCUGAUCCAGCCAUGCCGCGUGUGUGAAGAAGGCCUUAGGGUUGUAAAGCACUUUCAGUGGGGAAGAAGGCCUCUGGGUUAAUACCCUGGAGGAAGGACAUCACCACGAGG
rnacentral:rRNA from 1 species